AAGUGGGUGCCCCUCUAUUCUGCUACACACCCACCGCCUUUAGUAUUUCCAAGCACACAGCUAUGUACCUACACUCAUCCUCUGGCGCUGGGAUGUGUCCAUAGAGACGUAAAGCAAGGGGAAGUAAACCCAAUUUAUUACGUAAUGGGAAGUGAACUUAACUUAUUAAACAUAUUUUCUCAGGACGUUAAAGUCUUUAAUCAAAACUUUGAGUCAGUGGCCAAUGUGUAUGCUGCGCUGCAUAUUAAUUGAAAGGAAUUAUGAGACUAAACCUGAUAUUAUAUCAAUAUGACUGUAAUUAAAGAGUCUAACAAAAUCAUUAUAUUCUAUUGAACUGAUAUGAGGUUGCCCCCACCCUUGCGGGGUUGCUGAUAUGAGAUUGGCCCCCACAGCUGAUAUGCUAGAGGUGAGACGUAGCAGCCUGGUACAGCUGUAUAGGCAGAGACCAGAGAGUUGUCUCCAUACUAACACGGGAAUCUGAUAUUUGCCUGUGCCAGUCUGGCUUCUGCCUCUGUGAACUGGCCAGGUAUAUCACAGAAGUAUAUGGGUGAUGGGGGGGGGGGACAUUCGGUGCUUAGCAAUAAGGUCGCUGUGUCGCUAGUUGCGGUUAUCAAUUGGAAAGCUGUCUUCUAUGGUUCACUGCCCCUCUGUAAUUACCGCCUCUAUACUGGGGGCAGUAUGUUUGUAGUCUCCUGAGCUGGGGUCUUUGGGCGAGAAGACGAAGGAGAACAGUUAUGAUUGUUACAUGGGCAAUACAGAAGCCGCAACAUCGCUGUCACCUCAUUGUCUGCUAUGAUAUAAACACAAUCGCAUCUGUCGCCUCUUAAUCCAAUCAUCUUUAAAUGUAUUCACUUAUAUUGUUUAAUAUAUCUCCGUGUAUUAUGUGUGUAUAUAUACAUAUAUCUAAAAAAAAAAAAAAAAUUAAAAAAUUCAUACAGAAUCAUACAGUAAUGACAUUUUUUUAUUUCUAGGGCUUCGCAAUUUUUUUUACUAGAUUUUAUUUAAAAAACAUAGAUUUAAUAGGAUGGCAGGGAGCAAAUAUUCAUAGCAUUGGACCCCCAGAUAAAUCAUUCAAUUACAGCAUUUCUUCAUUUUUCAGGAUGAUUAAUUGUAUUCAUGCUAAUAAACAAAAUACAAAAACGUAUUAUUUUAUUCACGA